rnacentral:lncRNA from 1 species
AAUGUAUCAAAUUUGAAAGAAAAGCUCACAAAGGAUACAUGUACCUACUCGUCUUUAAAUUCGAUCGUCAGAAGUGCGCUUUGUCUCAUGUUGGAGAUUGACACAGACUAGUUGGAAUGCAAACUUAAGUUACAAAUGUAAAGAGCUUUGUGUCAAAUCCGGAUAAUGCCAUCAUUAUGAACAUACAGGUGUAUGCUUGCAAUGAGAAAUUUCUAUCCCCGCAACCAAGGAUGCACACAUUAAUUGACCACCGUACGAUCUAUUAUAGUUUUAUGCCAUGGUUUUGUCUGUCUUUCUUUGUCUCUUCGAUCUUUGAUUGCUGUAUUCUAUUCUUA